rnacentral:rRNA from 1 species
GACGAACGCUGGCGGCGUGCUUAACACAUGCAAGUCGAACGGAGUGGCGAACGGGUGAGUAAUACGUGGGUGACCUGCCCUGCACUUCGGGAUAAGCCUGGGAAACUGGGUCUAAUACCGGCUAGUGUGGGAUGGGCCGGCGGCCUAUCUGCUUAUUGGUGGGGUAAUGGCCUACCAAGGCGGCGACGGGUAGCCGGCCUGGGGGGGUGGACGGCCACAAUGGGACUGAGACACGGACCAGACGCGUACGGGAGGCAGCAGUGGGGAGUAUUGCACAAUGAGCGGGAGCAUGUGGCAGCGGCGCGGCGUGGGGAAUGACGGCUUUCGGGUUGUAAACUCCUUUCACCUGCGACGCGGUAGAUGAAGAAGAAGCACCGGCUAACUACGUGCCAGCAGCCGCGGUAAUUC